rnacentral:lncRNA from 1 species
AAGGCGGCUUACCCCGCCCCCUACCUCUUGCCGCUUCUCGCGCGGAGACGAGAGAGCGGGAAGAGGGAGUGAGUGACAGUGGCGACCUUCGAAGUUCUCCUCCGUUGCCCCACCUCCCUCCCUCGUUCACUGUGGCGGGACGGUGAAACGGAGUUCCGAAGGCUGGCGGAUGAGAGGAGAGGCUGGGAAAGGGGAGAGGCUGGAGGACGAGGACGAAGAGGAAGGAAACAUCCCGCUCGCCUCUCCCUUCUGCCGCUUCUUCAGUGUGGCGGGUGGGGAGAAUUCAUUUUUUGCCUCCGCGCGGGCAGGACGUGCAGCCUGACGCGUCUCCCUGGGUGGCGGGACAUGGGUAGGUCGUCGCCGUGGGACGUAACGGAAAAGCCUGUGGGCUCCUGGCCGUCCUUGCCCAAGCUUGCUGGGAAGCGCCAGAAGACCUGCACCUGCACGGGGUCUUGUGGCAUAAGUUGGGGCUGCACACCUUCUCCUCCGUGCCUUCAUUUCUCGGGAGGAAGGGUAAAUGUUAUCCAAGGACCCCCCCCCUUUCCACCCUCCUUUUUUUGGCAAAGUUUUGCUUCUGGGUUAGUCGGCAAUCCAGUGCAUCUUCCAGCUCCAUUGAAUGCCGUGAUUUCGCUUCCCAGCACGUAGGUUCGGACGGUCCAUCCCUGCCGGACCAACCGCGUUGUAAUUUUAUUUGUUGGCGGGUCGGGUUGAAGGCGCGUUUCAGGGACAAGCUCGCAGUUGAAUCAAUCACGAGCCCACGGCGCCCUUAUCCAUAUGUGGGAAGCUUUUGUUUGCUUGUGAAGGUUAUAACGACAGUCUAGAGUUCACCCGUUAUGGUGAGAGGAAGGCCAACGAGAAAGGAACUUCGUUGAAGUGUGUGGAUGCUGUAUUUGCUUUGCCUUAUAUGUGUGUCUGUUUUCUAAAGCAUUGCUCUCUCUGCGGAUCCAGUGGCUAUUGCUUAUUAAAACACCAACGUUAGGAGGCCAGAACAAAAUUCUGAAGGUCUGAAACAUGCUGAUUCUGGCAAAUAAAAAAAAUGAUCUGCCUCCUUUGGGUGAUACUAUAUUACCCUCUUUUUAAAAACUAGUGUGAGAGCCAGAGUAGUUGAGGGUAUUGUAGCAGCACACAUUGUGAGUGAAGUAUAGCUCAUAACUCUGGCCUCUUGGUAGUGGGUAAGUAUCUCUGUAUAGGGUUUACAGUGUCAAAUAGAAGCUGUCCCCCAGAUUUGUUUUAUAAAAAGGUGCUGAGGGGAAAUCUGAAGCCUUUCCUAGUAGCAUAUAUACUCUUAAUAUUUUGAAUUGCAUACAGAAUUUGACUCAUUCAUACUUUAAACCAGCAGAUAUGAAGAGAGUUGCGGGUAAGAGAAUUCUGGACUGACAAGGUUUACAGGUAUGAACAACUUCUGGUUGAGAACCUUAAUGUAUGUUUUUAGUGUGUGGGUGUUGUACAAAAGUGUGGUAUGAAAACAUUUGUUUCCUUUUUAUUCAUAAAUUACAUGGCUGAUCUUGUUGUUUUCAGGGUUGUCGUACAUUUCACAGUGUAGAUUGCCAGUGAUUUAUUGUAGGGGGGAAAUGGUGUCAACUUUUUCUUUUUGUAUAUUGCAAAGAUAAUGCAUCCAAACCACGACUAAGACAGUCCUAUGCACAGUUAGCUGGGAGUAAGCCACAUUAUAUUAAACAACUUAUUUAUUAAUGGACAUGAAUAGGAUUGCACUGUAAAUCACAUUCCUGAUGUUAUAAUACUGCUGUGUUAUUCAUGGCCCACUAAUUAUAGUUUUAUUAUUUCUGUUCUUUCCUGUUCUCAUUUUGAUUCCGAAUUUCAAUGUGUUUAUUUGAGGACAGUGUUUUUGAAGCCAAGGUUGUUGCUACAAAUAUUUCACACACUUUGGGAUUAGUAAAAGCUGGUAGAUUAAGUUUGGCAACAUAUUAUCUUCUCAACAUACUAACCUUGUAUGCUAUCAUUGUGAAACUUUGCAGUCAUGCUUCAUUUCUAAAGUAAUCAUGUUUUUACGCUCUGGAAAAAUGCUACCUUAUACCAAAUAUCAAGGUUAAUCUGACAUUACCAAAAGUUGGGAGGGGGUCAUUUGCUAGGCUAACCAUCUUGCGUUUCCUUGGGUUUUGCUGUUUGGAGUGUGUCCUUGUGUGAAUGAAAAAUAACUAGCUUUUUCAGUAAUCAAAGUAUAUUUAGAGCAGAAUGUUGUAUGUUUGAAAGAUCUUACAUAGAUUCUAGACUUAAAGCACUUCAGCUCCUUGUUAUUUUUUCAUCCUGUGUUGUAAUUGUUGGAAAAAAUAGCAACAAAGAACCUUGGCUAUCAAAUUCCUGACAUUGUUCUUGAAGAGUGAGAUAGAAAUAUGAUUCUAUUGAUUUGUUUCCAGUCAAAAAACUCAGUGGUAAGUGAAAAGACGAAAUAGCAGUGGUGAAAUAUUAACUAAGCAAUUACAUUAUGUCAAAGGAUAAGGCAGGUUGCUUUUGUUUGCUUUGCUUGAUAAGCAGUAGAUGACCGCAGCAAUGAUACUGAAAUGAUUUUCAGGAAGGAAAAGUCUCUCAGUGUUCGGACAUAGCUUCUGUUUCUUUAGAUGUACAUUGCACAAUUUAAUACUUUGACCUAGAGCUAUCUUACAAAAGUCACAUCUUCUAUUAUCUUAGAGUUUACUUUGGAAAGCAUUCUAAAAGAUCUCAGUUUGGUGAUGCAGAAACAACUUAGGUUUGGAAUGCCUACUAAUAAAAAUAUAUUCUUGCAACCAUCAUAUUACGUAUGAAUUUAGGAGAUUGAAAAGAGUGUGCAUGUUUUAAAAUGAAGUUAAAUACAAUGGGAGAGUUCAUUCAGUUAUUGCAACAUUUAC